CCCUUAGAUGUCCUGGGCCGCACGCGCGUUACACUGAUGCAUUCAACGAGUUUAUAACCUUGGCCGAGAGGCCUGGGCAAUCUUGUUAACGUGCAUCGUGAUAGGGAUAGAUUAUUGAAAUUAUUAAUCUUGAACGAGGAAUUCCUAGUAAACGCAGAUCAUCAAUCUGCAUUGAUUACGUCCCUGCCCUUUGUACACACCGCCCGUCGCUCCUACCGAUUGAAUGAUCCGAUGAAUAUCAUGGAUUGAGGAUGCAAGCAGGUUCGCCUGUCUUCAUCUUCGAGAAGUGAAGUAAAUCUUAUCAUUUAGAGGAAGGAGAAGUCGUAACA
rnacentral:rRNA from 1 species